rnacentral:misc_RNA from 1 species
AAAGAUAUAGCAUAUUCUUCUGAGUAUACUUUAUUAACCCCAUUCCGAGUACCUUACCCGUUGCUUUCCGCGAGGCUGUCCUCACGGCCCUCUGAAGAUUUAUCUUUGGGGAGUCCUUGCGGAAGGUAUACAAUAACUCUUGCAUUACCAUGUCAUCUGUCUGAAUCUGUUUAAAACAAAUAUUA